GUCAGUUCUUUGAUUUAAACAUUUUUUUAAAUUUGUCUCCUCAGAUCUGCUCUUAAAUUGGACAUGAUGGAGUGCCAAAAGUUCAAGAGCUGAGCCACCUGAUGGGAAGACAUCUCUCUAGUCCUAUGGAAGUGGUUUUCUCAGGAUCCUUGGUCCCAGCCUUGAUUCUCCUACCUCUGUCCUAUGGCAGUGCCAGUUUAAUCUCUCUGUAAUGGUUCUGGGAUCCUCCCCAUUUGCUCGCUUCCUGUCUGUCUUGAGUUGUCUAAGUUCUCUUGUGUGAUGCUCCCGUAUACUCCCUAACCCUAUCUCUAAUUAUCCAGGAACAUUUUUCAGCUCUUUUCUCACACAGCGCUCCCUUUCAUUACCACUCAUUUGACCCUGAACUUUUCUGCUUUGAGUUGCAGACUUUCUUUCUCUUUUUGUUUUGUUUUGUUUUUCA
ensembl:lincRNA